CAGGUCUUGACAUCCUCUGACAACCCUAGAGAUAGGACUUUCCCUUCGGGGACAAAGUGACAGGUGGUGCAUGGUUGUCGUCAGCUCGUGUCGUGAGAUGUUGGGUUAAGUCCCGCAACGAGCGCAACCCCUAUUGUUAGUUGCCAGCAUUCAGUUGGGCACUCUAAUGAGACUGCCGGUGACAAACCGGAGGAAGGUGGGGAUGACGUCAAAUCAUCAUGCCCCUUAUGACCUGGGCUACACACGUGCUACAAUGGAUGGUACAACGAGCAGCAAGACCGCGAGGUCAAGCGAAUCUCUUAAAGCCAUUCUCAGUUCGGAUUGCAGGCUGCAACUCGCCUGCAUGAAGCCGGAAUCGCUAGUAAUCGCGGAUCAGCACGCCGCGGUGAAUACGUUCCC
rnacentral:rRNA from 1 species